GCUCAACUUGGUGACUUAGAUUCCACCGGAGGGAGCUAUCGGCGUGGCCGUUGACGGCAACGUUGAGAUUAUUGGUGAGACGGCGUGGUUUAGGGCAGACAAGUUGAUCUCUGAAGUCAGAAAUGGGACAGGGAACAGAGGUUCUCAUCUCCUCGUGGCCUGAGAAGGCGUUUGACAGAAUGGCGCAGUGAUUCAUAUUACGUAUUGG
rnacentral:misc_RNA from 1 species